UAAAUGUCUGGAAUAAUUGAGAUUAGACUUACAUGGGAUUAUUUAAUUUCUAAUUUAUUUAUUUCAGCUUCUUUCAGUAGGUAUACAUUUUAUGUCAUAACUCAGUCUUCAUAAAUGUAAUUCAAAUUAUGGUUUAUGGAUGGGGUUAAGUUAUGGUUGUGUGUUCUUUUCACACGGUAUACAGUUUUUGUCUGUAUGUCGGGAAAUGGCACUUUGAAAUGGAGGAAAAGUACAUCUAUAUCGCUCAACGAAGUAUCUAGAUUGUCCGAUCUAGCAUUUGUCUCAUAAAAGAGGUCAGCGAACCAUCACACUCGUUAAUUUGGCAGUCAAUCUUAAUUUUCAGAAGAAUGGCUCACAAUAUAAAAUAUUUUAUAGAAAUAAAUGUAAAUAUAUUUUAAUGUUAAAAAAAGGAAGGAUAAUAUAGAGUUAUCGACCAACUAACAUGUGGAGAAACACUAAAUGGGAGUGACUUGUCGGUGUACAACAUAAAAUUAGAAUAUGAAAUUCUAGCAAUCUCUUUAUGGAUUAAAUGUUGGCACGAGGGAAAUCCAGGCUACAGCAUAAUAAAGUAUAAUAAAAUUAGAGCUGGUGGCGGAACAAAGGUGAAAUAUGAAAUGAUGAUGCAUGAACAUGUCGCAUAAAAAUAAAGAAGUUAGCCGCGUAUCGCAAUAUUGCAUAAUUCUUUGU